rnacentral:rRNA from 1 species
UUGACCUCGGAUCAGGUAGGAAUACCCGCUGAACUUAAGCAUAUCAUAAGUCGGAGGAAUC